GACGAACGCUGGCGGCGUGCUUAACACAUGCAAGUCGAGCGGAAAGGCCCUUCGGGGUACUCGAGCGGCGAACGGGUGAGUAACACGUGAGUAACCUGCCCUAGGCUUUGGGAUAACCCCGGGAAACCGGGGCUAAUACCGGAUAUGACCUGGUGCCGCAUGGUGUUGGGUGGAAAGUUUUUUCGGCCUGGGAUGGGCUCGCGGCCUAUCAGCUUGUUGGUGGGGUGAUGGCCUACCAAGGCGAUGACGGGUAGCCGGCCUGAGAGGGCGACCGGCCACACUGGGACUGAGAGACGGCCCAGACUCCUACGGGAGGCAGCAGUGGGGAAUAUUGCACAAUGGGCGGAAGCCUGAUGCAGCGACGCCGUGUGAGGGAUGAAGGCCUUCGGGUUGUAAACCUCUUUCAGCAGGGACGAAGCGUGAGUGACGUUACCUGCAGAAGAAGCGCCGGCCAACUACGUG
rnacentral:rRNA from 1 species